rnacentral:misc_RNA from 1 species
UCCGAGUUGACCCCGGCAGUCUCCUGCGAGUGCUUGGCAUUACCCAGUGGCAACACAGGACAAGGGUUGCGCUCGUUGCGGGACUUAACCCAACAUCUCACGACACGAGCUGACGACAGCCAUGCACCACCUGUGACAGUGUCCCGAAGGAAAAGUGUGUUUCCACGGCGGUCACCUACAUGUCAAGCCCAGGUAAGGUUCUUCGCGUUGCGUCGAAUUAAUCCACAUCAUCCACCGCUUGUGCGGGUCCCCGUCAAUUCCUUUGAGUUUUAAUCUUGCGACCGUACUCCCCAGGCGGUCGACUUCACGCGUUAGCUGCGGUACUAAGGAAGUCUCCUUCCCCAACACCUAGUCGACAUCGUUUAGGGCGUGGACUAC